rnacentral:lncRNA from 10 species
CCACAGCAGAAUGACUCGGCAAGGAGAAGGGCUUGUCGGGUCUAGCUGGGAGUGGAGGUGGGCCAGGCUGCCAGAGGGAGGCUUUGGGUGGUGCCCUUAAGAGUCUCCUUCAUGAGCUGUUUUGCACUGUGAGGUCACAGUCAAAACACGGAGAGCCAUGGCUACAACUUGAGCAAGUCAAACACGCUGUGAUUCAGGCCAGGGAGAUGAGCGUGGGUAAAGAACACUGUACGAACUAGCUCAGGGCUUCUGGAACUGUGUGCGGCUGAAUCACCGGGGCAUCUUGGUGAACUGUAAAUUCUGAUUCAGCAAACUGGGAGGAGGGCGCUGAGAUCCAGCAUUUCCAUCAAGCUUCCCAUGGACCACACUCUGACUAUCAGGGCCUUCGAUGCAGACAGUCUCGAUACAGCUGCACACAAGAAUCACACAGAAAGUUUUAAAAAUGCCAAUGCCAGGCCAGGCACAGUGGCUCACGCUUGUAAUCCCAGCACUUCGGGAGGCCGAGGCAGGCAGAUCACAAGGUCAGGAGUUCGAGACCAGCCUGGCCAACACAGUGAAACCCCGUCUCUACUAAAAAUACAAAAAUUAGCUGGGCGUGGUGGCAGGCACCUGUAAUCCCAGCUAC